rnacentral:rRNA from 1 species
UACGAAGGCCCCGAGCGUUAUCCGGAUUUAUUGGGCGUAAAGCGUUAAAAGGUGGCUUGGUAAGUGGUUCGUCAAAUCCUGCGGCUCAACCGCAGGGCUGCGAUUCAGACUGCCCGGCUUGAGGUCGGAAGAGGCAAGCGGAACUACCGGUGUAGUGGUAAAAUGCGUUAAUAUCGGUAGGAACACCGGUGGCGAAGGCGGGUCUCUGGGCCGAUACUGACGCUGAGGCACGAAAGCGUGGGGAGCAAACAGG